UACGUAGGGUGCAAGCGUUAAUCGGAAUUACUGGGCGUAAAGCGUGCGCAGGCGGUUUCGUAAGCUUGAUGUGAAAUCCCCGGGCUCAACCUGGGAACUGCAUUGAGGACUGCGAGGCUAGAAUACGGCAGAGGGGGGUGGAAUUCCACGUGUAGCAGUGAAAUGCGUAGAGAUGUGGAGGAACACCGAUGGCGAAGGCAGCCCCCUGGGCCUGUAUUGACGCUCAUGCACGAAAGCGUGGGGAGCAAACAGG
rnacentral:rRNA from 1 species